rnacentral:tRNA from 1 species
GCCCGCAUAGCUCAGUGGUAGAGCGCAUCACUCGUAAUGAUGAGGCCCUCGGUUCGAUCCCGAGUACGGGCU